UCCCAUCUCUCUCAGCCUAUCCUCGCAGGAGAGGUGCUCCAUCCCUUGGAUCAUUUUUGUGGCCCUCUUCUUGACACACUCCAACAGGCCCACAUCUCCUGUACAGAGGGCUCCCUCUGCAUGCAGUACUCCAGCUUUAUUGUUGAACAUCCAGAGCCUUGAUCGUCUGCCCCAGACAAAGACUACUGUGGCAAAGUGAUGAGGAACUUGAAAGCAAAUGAAAGCUUGCCAGGAAUCUGUGGAAACAGCUACUUCCUCAACUGAUUGUAUGUCAUCAUCACUGUCUCCUAUGAGUCCAAAUUUAAAACUUCUCCUUGCCGGGUUGACCAGUAUUGGCAAAAGCAUUUUUGCCCCACUUGAGCUGGUGGAUCCCAUCUAUUCCAAGGAAUUGUUGAUUCCCAGAGAGACUACAAAGGUCUUGAAGCUGAAUCCUGUUGUUGGUAACAGUUAUGCAAACUGUCGUUGACCUGAAGAAUCCAUCCACUCUGCCUCAAGUCUCUCCCCUCACUAAUAGGACUGAGGAGACAUCACCUGGAAGCCAAGACCUUGGUCAGCACCCUUGGAGCCAUGAAGUCAGUCUUGGUAUGCUCCAUGUUGCCUCUGGCACCAGUGGUGCACCUGUGGAAGGCCAGCAGGGUGUCACAGCCCCAGAGCUGCCAAGCCUUGCAGCUUCUCCACUGCACCCCACUUCUUAGGCUCCAGCAAGCAUCAAGCCUCAAAGCAAACCUACUUGCCUAAAGAGAAAAGAUACACUGAGGGGGAGAGAAGGAGCUUCAAUGACAAGUUCAAGCAUCAUCACACUCAGCAUGGAUCUUCAUCUUGUCCAAAUGUUGUUACACCUUGAGAAGAUAUGACUCUUCUGCAGGAAUGGAGAGCAUCCUAGCUGGCUGUGAAUUUUCUGUAUGUCAAGAAUUUCAGUGUUAGGGACCCAUGUGAAUGAUUUCUAACAAUGAUUUUCAGCCAAAUAACUUUGUUUUAAGACCGUGCUGACCCUUUGUCUCAUGGCUGAGGAUGCAUAAAGAUCAUUCACUUCAAUGAGAGCCUCCUGUGGCACUGUGGCACCCAUUCAGCAUGCCCAGGGUACUGAGGUUGGAGAGCAGGAGACCUCCUGGGAAGUCUGGCACAGCCAGUGCCACCUCCAGCUUGUCCCUGUGUCCUCUGAUGCCUGUCACCAGCCUGGCUCUGAGCCAGGGCAUGGCUGAGCUGCUGCAGCAGUCAUUGCCUGGGUGAGCACUUCUGACUGGGAGCAGACAGAGGAUGCUGCUGUUCCUGUUGUGCUCACUCCUGACUGCACACAUUGGCAUUUCCAAAGUAGUACUUUUUUUUUCCUGAAUAGUUCAAAUCAUAAUGUCACCAAACUCAAUACAAAGUAAGUAAAUUUACAGUUUUGUGAAGCACCACUGUACAAGUUGCCCUUGAGAAACUCAUUGUAAGGAAGUUUCUUUAGUAUUAUAUUGACUCAUGGAGGAAAAGGGCCAGGGAGGACAGAUCCUGGUGCACAAACAUGGGGCACUCAGAGCACAAUGCCCAGCAAGCACAGCUGACAUUCCAGUUUUGGGCCCCUCACUGCAAGAAAGACAUUGAGGCCCUGGAACAUG